rnacentral:rRNA from 1 species
AUUAAUAGAUAUAGUCUUUAAAUUUGGAGAAUUUGGCGGUGAUUUAGUCUUGUCAGAGGAACUUGUUUUAAAAAAUCGAUACACCACGUAUAAUCUUACUUAUUUUAAUUAGUUUAUAUACCGUCAUUGUCGGAUGAUUUUUAAAGAAUUAGUAAUCAUUAAAGUUUAUGUAGUUAAUAAGUUAAAUUAGAUCAAGGUGUAGCUUAUAAAUAAGUUAAAAUGGGUUACAAUAAAAUUUAUUUAUUAUGGAGUAGUUGUAGAAAUAGUUACUAUGAAGGAGGAUUUGAUUGUAAUGGUAUUUUAAUAAGUUUAAAAGAUAUAAGCUCUAAAUUAU